rnacentral:rRNA from 1 species
AGGGUUUGAUCAUGGCUCAGGAUGAACGCUAGCGGCAGGCUUAACACAUGCAAGUCGAGGGGUAUAGUUCUUCGGAGCUAGAGACCGGCGCACGGGUGCGUAACGCGUAUGCAAUCUACCUUUUACAGAGGGAUAGCCCAGAGAAAUUUGGAUUAAUACCUCAUAGUAUGUGAGAAUCGCAUGGUUUUCACAUUAAAGUCACAACGGUAAAAGAUGAGCAUGCGUCCCAUUAGCUUGUUGGUAAGGUAACGGCUUACCAAGGCAACGAUGGGUAGGGGUCCUGAGAGGGAGAUCCCCCACACUGGUACUGAGACACGGACCAGACUCCUACGGGAGGCAGCAGUGAGGAAUAUUGGACAAUGGGCGCAAGCCUGAUCCAGCCAUGCCGCGUGCAGGAUGACGGUCCUAUGGAUUGUAAACUGCUUUUGUACAGGAAGAAACACUCCCUCGUGAGGGAGCUUGACGGUACUGUAAGAAUAAGGAUCGGCUAACUCCGUGCCAGCAGCCGCGGUAAUACGGAGGAUCCAAGCGUUAUCCGGAAUCCUUGGGUUUAAAGGGUCC